AUCCAGCUGACGUGUCCCAAAUAGGACAAAACGCGUUUCAAAUUGGAU
rnacentral:hammerhead_ribozyme from 1 species